UAAUAGAUGUGGGUGCCUCGUAUGGGUGAGAGAGAGGCUCAAUUUGCACUUUAGUUGACAUAGGUAAGUAUAGGAAGGAACCUCAUUGAGUUAGCAGAGAUGAGCCAGAGGCGAGGUAGAUAAGAAAGCUGCUCAGUCAGUAGUCAAUAUAAGAAUCAAACUCACUCGUCACAGAACCAACCCAGUGAGAAACAGCCUUCAACUCAUAAGACAGAGGCCAAGCACAAACACUCGGAAUUGAGCUAGUCAGUAUCGGACUAAGACAAGGGAGUGACAGGAUCGAACUUGAGAGUGGAAGACUUCGACUGGGUAGACUCAGAGUGGGGCUGCUGAGGGAGAGAAUGCAACCGUGCCCUACUAUGCUAGGUAUUGGUAUGUAGCUGCUCAGACCGAUGCCACUGCUAGUAAGACUCCAACCAGUGCAUCUAGGGUAGUAGACCCGAAUUUACCUAAGUAGUUUAAGAGUGGAGCUAGUAGGUGGAACUAGCAGCUUACUUAUUCUUCUUGUUAUACAUCACAUCAAAUAAGGUUCAACAAAAACAAAGGUGCAGGUGGAGAGCUCUAUUAGAGAAAGAUGAACAAAGGUUCAGGUGGAGCUCUAUUAGGGAAAGAUUCAUUGGGUAGGGAUGGCAGUCAAUAGCUCUACUAGAUAGCAAGAGAGCAAGGAAACAAACAAGUCAAAUAGCACAAAAUCAUAAGUAAGCACGUUAGACGCCCAGGCCAUCCUCCACUACUACACUUGCACCCAAAGAGAAAAGACUAACUUACACUGCUUUCAGCUUGUGACUUACCCGCUUCGCUUAACCCCACCUCAGCAUUCGAAAAGAGAUAUAUUAUAUAAUGAAGAUAAUGGAAGAGAUAGAUUAUAUAAUUAAGACCUCUGUUCAACAACUCUUAUGACUAAUGUGCACUGGGCUUCAGAUGAUAGGACAAUCUGUUUACGACUUGUACCACGACUUGGCUCGAUCAAACCAAUCACCUCUCGCUACAAUGACACAAACACAAGAAGUCAACUUGAAGUUCAGAAUGAAAUGGAAUCUAUCCACUUAUAUAAGCUACAGGUCAACUACUACCGCUGAGUCUUGCUUUGAGUCCACUCACUAAGAUGAAAUUAUUCCAUAAAUUGAUGUGGAACAGUCCAUUCUUCUGCUGGAACAUAUCUUUCAUAACCGAUGGCUGCUUUUGACUUCACCUCUUAAUUACCCUGUUUCUAUGCUAGACUGAAACUCACUAACGACAGCCGGCCAAGUAACUAAGCUAAGCUAUAAGUACUGAGUUUAGCCUAUUGGUAUUGGCGAACACAGGACUUGCUCAUAACUCUAGAGCAGUUAGUCGUAGCUUGCCGGGCUUUUAAGCAAUAAAUACAGAUACAGAAGUGUUGUAAGGAGCACAUGGGUUGGUUACUUGGAUCAAAAGGGUUUGUCGAGAGGUUUAGUUGGUUGUAAGGAGCACAUGGUUGGU
rnacentral:lncRNA from 1 species